AUGGGACUCCCAAUCACAGCCGGAUGUGAUGCAGCCUGGACUUUUAUUAUGAUAUGGGGAAUCAUCUCACUUCCCUGUCCUUCAUCCUGUUCUACAUUUUGUAAUUUUCCAGUGUUAAUCUGUCUGGAUUAUAACAUUUUGUCAGUUUAUUUUGCUUCAUCAGAGUUUAUGCUGCCGGUAGACACUAACAUUUUGUCAGUUUAUUUUGCUUCAUCAGAGUUUAUGCUGCCGGUAGACACUAACAUUUUGUCAGUUUAUUUUGCUUCAUCAGAGUUUAUGCUGCCGGUAGACACAACUUUUGUCAGUUUAUUUUGCUUCAUCAGAGUUUAUGCUGCCGGUAGACACUAACAUUUUGUCAGUUUAUUUUGCUCACAGAGUUUAUGCUGGCCGGUAGACACUAACAUUUUGUCAGUUUUUUUGCUUCAUCAGAGUUUAUGCUGCCGGUAGACACUAACAUUUUGUCAGUUAUUUUGCUUCAUCAGAGUUAGCUGCCGGUAGACACUAACAUUUGUCAGUUUAUUUUGCUUCACAGAGUUUAUGCUGCCGGUAGACACUAACAUUUUUGCCAUCUAUUUAUUUACUAUGUUUUGGUGUCAUUAAGUUUUCUAUGGUUCAUGGAGGAAUUGUUUGUCAAUUAUCUUGAAUCAGUAUGUCUUCAAAUCUUUUGGUGCAAAGAUUAAACGAUUUCUCCCCCAUAGACUUCUAACAUCA
rnacentral:lncRNA from 1 species